CCGUUUAGAGGAAGGAGAAGUCGUAACAAGGUCUCCGUAGGUGAACCUGCGGAGGGAUCAUUG
rnacentral:rRNA from 3 species